GCCCCCGCAGCUCGAUGGUCGAGCACUCCCCCGGUACGGGAGCGGCCCAGGUUCGAUUCCUGGCAGGGGCA
rnacentral:tRNA from 1 species